rnacentral:rRNA from 1 species
GACGAACGCUGGCGGCGUGCUUAACACAUGCAAGUCGAACGGAAAGGCCCUGCUUUUGUGGGGUGCUCGAGUGGCGAACGGGUGAGUAACACGUGAGUAACCUGCCCUUGACUUUGGGAUAACUUCAGGAAACUGGGGCUAAUACCGGAUAGGAGCUCCUGCUGCAUGGUGGGGGUUGGAAAGUUUCGGCGGUUGGGGAUGGACUCGCGGCUUAUCAGCUUGUUGGUGGGGUAGUGGCUUACCAAGGCUUUGACGGGUAGCCGGCCUGAGAGGGUGACCGGCCACAUUGGGACUGGGAUACGGCCCGGACUCCUACGGGAGGCAGCGGUGGGGAAUAUUGCACAAUGGGCGGAAGCCUGAUGCAGCAACGCCGCGUGCGGGAUGACGGCCUUCGGGUUGUAAACCGCUUUCGCCUGUGACGAAGCGUGAGUGGCGGUAAUGGGUAAAGAAGCACCGGCUAACUACGUG